rnacentral:lncRNA from 1 species
GAAGGACCGGGAACAGAGAAGCAAGAUACAGGUAUGGAUGUAGAUGAAGAUGACAAACCUGCUGAUAUGGAACCUAAGGAUGUGAUGGAGGUAGACACGGAUAAUGGGACAAUUGCAUCUGAUUUACAGGAGGGAACUGCUGGUACACCUGAAGAUGAUGAAAUAGAUCCAUUGGAUGCUUUCAUGAAUUCUAUGGUUCUACCUGAAGUUGAAAAGCUGAACAAUGCUGUGACAUCAGUAAUUUCUGAUAAAGCCGUUGACAUAAAAGCCAAAGAUAAAGGGAAUGAGCAAAGUCGUGGUACACAGUCAAGGAAAGGUUCAAAUAAGUCUAUUGGCAGAAUAAUUCCUG